rnacentral:rRNA from 1 species
CGGACGGGUGAGUAACGCGUGAGAAUCUACCUUCAGGACGGGGACAACAGCUGGAAACGGCUGCUAAUACCCGAUAUGACGAAAGGUGAAACGUUGUUUCGCCUGGAGAGGAGCUCGCGUCCGAUUAGCUAGUUGGUGGGGUAAAAGCUUACCAAGGCGACGAUCGGUAGCUGGUCUGAGAGGAUGAGCAGCCACACUGGAACUGAGACACGGUCCAGACUCCUACGGGAGGCAGCAGUGGGGAAUUUUCCGCAAUGGGCGAAAGCCUGACGGAGCAACGCCGCGUGGGGGAAGAAGGUUUUUGGAUUGUAAACCCCUUUUCUCAAGGAAGAACAAAAUGACGGUACUUGAGGAAUCAGCCUCGGCUAACUCCGUGCCAGCAGCCGCGGUAAUACGGAGGAGGCAAGCGUUAUCCGGAAUUAUUGGGCGUAAAGCGUUCGUAGGCGGCUGUUCAAGUCUGCUGUCAAAGACCGAGGCUCACCCUCGGGUCGGCAGUGGAAACUGGAUAGCUAGAGGUCGGUAGGGGCAGAGGGAAUUCCCAGUGUAGCGGUGAAAUGCGUAGAUAUUGGGAAGAACACCGGUGGCGAAAGCGCUCUGCUGGGCCGAACCUGACGCUGAGGGACGAAAGCUAGGGGAGCGAAUGGGAUUAGAUACCCCAGUAGUC